UGAUAUUAUUACACUACAGAAAGCUAGUGGAACUUCCGGACAGCACAAAUCACUGUUUUAAUAGAUUUGUCUGUAUUGACGUCGGACAACACAUUUGGAAAGAACAAAACUAUAAGAAAGAUUAUACCAGCCAAAGCUUUUGGACAAAACAAACAGAAGCACUUCUAAUAACAUUUGACCAAAUAAUAAAAAAGUGAAUACUUAAUAUAAAUCUGUGAUGUACUCAGCAUUGUACAACCUAUCUAUUACAGUAUAUAGCAUUGCCAUGGAUUGUUUAUUUUCACAAAUCUAUCGCUCCAGGAACACGCUCAACUGAAUAUGAACAUAUGGCUGUGUGUCACUUGUAAGAUACAAGUAGUCCCAGUUCAGUUUUGAUGGAUCACUAUUAUUGCCUGGCAUAAACCUGCACAGAGAAUUAUAAUACGGGCCAUUUUAACUGACAGCGUUGAACAAAAGAUACUCAUUACAUGUGUGGGCGGUAACGUGCCCAUAUGGAUGUCUUGAGGCAGCACCGAACUGCAUUGUGGGGAAGUUGAAAAUAAUUGAUCAAGAAGAGGUGGGAGGUAGGUGGCGGUGGUUCUGACGUCUGAUCUACUCUUCUUCAAUCUCACUGUGAUCCUGAUGGGAAAUGGCCUCUUGAAGACACCGCGAUCCAUCACGUUCCGUCGGUCUGUCAGAAAACAAGAAACGUUUUCAUUCCUUUCUCCCGCUACCUGAAGCCCCUUGGCAUGUGCAAACGUGUUUUUCCUAUCUUCCUCUUCAUCCGAGCCUCCUCCUCCUCCUCCUCGUCCUCCGAGAGCUGUACAUCCACCGUGUUCAUCAUAUUACAUUGCACACCGGAGCUGAUUAUCCGCUUUAAUAACUAGCAAUUACUGCCGCGGUUCUUCUGGUGCUGCCCACGUGGAGGAGAACAGAGGGACAUGAUUACGCUCAUCAGACACACGCACACCAUCACACACGCCGCAAACACGCCGGCGUCACUAAUGCGCGCCGUGCUCGUGGCGCUCACCAGUCUGCAGGGGAUAUUAACACUUGUCUCCGUAACUGCCAAAUGGCCCCGCCCACAACCACCUGAUUACGUCCAUCAACACGGAUGGUGACAGAGGGAUGAAGAUUCAUUCACGUUGUUUGUUUUGGCCCCGGACUAAAAUGUUGGCCCUACCCCCGAAUGAAACGAUGCAAAGACGGGGACUCGAGUCACUUGAGUCCCCAAACCCAGAGAUACAAGGUAGACGGAAGAGCCCUCUGGAGGUGGUUCAUGAAGCAUCUGCAGAAUCAAGCAUCCCACCUAUUUCCUGGCCAGCGAGGAGCCAGUGUUUCCCACAGCAGAGGCGUGUGACUCGUCCUUGUUGUCCCUCUCGGACAACACAACAUCACAGUCUACAGAAUAUGCUAACUAUGAAAAAGUGAAUAACAUGUUAUGCUCAGGAGUGACAGAGAAGAUGAUUCUGAAGAUGUUUCCCAUGCCCAUGCUGUCCUUAAAUGGAGGGCACCAUCGAAGAUGUUUCCCUUCAAUUUAAGUCAUCAUGGUUACAGAUUAUAUUAUAUUGUUCAUUUAAUAAAUGAAAAAUGUA